rnacentral:scRNA from 2 species
UUUGCUGUGCUAGACGGGGAGUUAGCGGUGCCUUGUACCUGCAAUCCGCUGUAGCAGGGUUGAAUUCCUUGUUUGAGGCUAUAAUUUGUGGGGUUUGCCUCAUCUUGGUCAAUGUUGAGAAUUGGGUCCCACGCAACGGAAAUUCAUGAACUCCGUCAGGUCCGGAAGGAAGCAGCGGUAAGUGAAAUCUUCCGUGUGCCG